rnacentral:misc_RNA from 1 species
AUGAGGUGCCUGCAAAGACCACAUUUAACAUUAAUUAAUAUGAUUAAUCAUUGUAAUAUAGCAAUAGCAGAUAUAGCAUUUUACAGGCAAUAAUAUUCAUUUUAUUUAUUUAUUUUUUGUUUUACUUUGAGUGGAUCAAAGAGAAAUUUAUUUAAAUGAAUCGUAAAACCUCAAAUUAAUUUAAUUAGGUAAGAGAAAGGGAAGAACAAUUAGGGGAUUCAUAUCUAAUUAUUAUAAAAGCAUUCCAUACCAUCUUGAGGUUUAGAGAAGGCAUAAUCCCAAUAGAUUCACAAUUCUCAAGAUGCCUUAAUGAUGAUCCAGGGUUUGAUUAUUUAACUAUACAAAUCCAUAUCAAGAAACAAAUGCUAAAUACAAGAUCAUUGUGAAUAAAAUACCGUUGUAUUUGUUAAGAAAACUGAAUUGCAGAAAAU